rnacentral:rRNA from 1 species
AUGGGAAGAGCGGAGCUCGCAGGUGUAGGAAGGGGAUCGAGGUCGUCAUGGCCGGAGGCGGUGGGGCUGCCGGUGGCCACCGCGGCACACCUGAUCAACGGGGACAGGCCAGAUGUCGCGGUGGCGUUAAUCAUGGAAAGGGAACCCAACAGGCAGCCAGGGCGCCCUGACCCUAGGCGUGUCAUCAUCAUCUCCGACGCAGCUGGCAUCGUCGUCAAGACCCCCGUCGUCGGCUAG